AUUGAACGCUGGCGGCAGGCUUAACACAUGCAAGUCGAACGAGUGGCGGACGGGUGAGUAAUGCUUGGUAAUCUGGCUUAUGGAGGGGGAUAACGAUGGGAAACUGUCGCUAACACCGCGUACCAUAGGAUGAGCCUAAGGGGGAUGAGUUAGUGGGUGGGGUAAUGGCAUCUCUAGCCGGCGAUCUCUAGCUGGUCUGAGAGGAUGACCAGACAAACCGGGACGGAGACACGGCCCGGACUCCUACGGGAGGCAGCAGGGGGGAAUAUUGCGCAAUGGGGGAAAGCUGACGCAGCCAUGCCGCGUGAAUGAAGAAGGCCGUAGGGUUGUAAAGUUCUUUCGGUGACGAGGCGUUAAUCACAGAAGAAGCACCGGCUAACUCCGUGCCAGCAGCCGCGGUAAUAC
rnacentral:rRNA from 1 species